rnacentral:lncRNA from 1 species
GUUUUGUUUGGUCACAGUCGCGUUUCCUCAGCGUUUCUGUUUACAGUUGGCUGAGAAUAUUAGUUUCUCCAAGGAAUUUCACAAGUGCUUUUUGUAUAACAUAUUGUUUGUCUCUUUCAGGUUGGAAGUUUGGGCAGUGGAUAAUGAUGUGUUCAGAAACAUGAUAGGUGACAACUUGUUAUGCCCACUGCGAAGUCUAUGGAGUUUACGGUUGAUUGGAGUUGAAAAUAUCAGAUGCCAGGGGAGGGAACCCAUUUCUGUACGCAGCAUAGCAUUUAUCCUGUUUGAAGAGCUUUGUAUAGAGGUGAGAUUGGUAAGUGUGGCUUUGUUGAUGUUUUUUAUUAAUUUCUUGUAGGAUUUCUUCUACUGAGUUGUUGUUGUUCUCAUUUACAAGGGAGGAUGUGUGCCCAAGUUUGGCUAGGGAGUCAGCCCUUUCAUUUCCUGCAAUACCUACGUGGCUUGGGAUCCACAGUUUAAUUAUUUGUUUCUUAGAGCUUCUUAUAUCUUCUUGUUUUUGCAGGAUCUUGUUAAUUAGAACACUUUUGGUGGAUUUUGAACCUGUAGUCAAUUGGAGGGCAGAUAGAGAGUCACAUACUACUCCGUCGUUGUAGAGCUGCGAGCUUCGGUCAGUUUCCAGGAUUCUGCCAGAUGACGUUUUGGGCACCAUACACUAUAUCCGGCUACAUCUUGUAUAUGGUCAUGGGAACCGUCAGUGAAGAGGGUUCAAGAUGGCUUCCUUCUUGCUGAUGGCCAGUUUUUGGAAUGGAAAGUGCUUGAUUUCCCAUGGCGGAGGAAAUGUUUUAUCCAUAGAAGGAGUUUGCCCCGAAUACUAAGCUGGGAAAGUUUGAAAAGCAAUCCGAGGUGCCACGUCGAGUCGUACGCUCCAGCAAUGUCCAGAAAGACAGUAUAAGUAUUAAUAUCUUUGUU